rnacentral:rRNA from 1 species
UAAGAGGUCCCGCCUGCCCAGUGACUUCGUGUUCAACGGCCGCGGUAUUUUAACCGUGCAAAGGUAGCGUAAUAACUUGUCUUUUAAAUGAAGACUUGUAUGAAUGGCAUCACGAGGGCCUGACUGUCUCCUACCCUCAGUCAAUUAAAUUGAUCCCCCCGUGCAGAAGCUGGGAUAAACACAUAAGACGAGAAGACCCUAUGGAGCUUUAGACAAAUUAGGUUUAAAUUACUACUCUUAAUUAAAACUUGUAAAUUGAUUAAGCCCCUUAAAAUGUCUUUGGUUGGGGCGACCUUGGGAAAACUCAACAACUCCCAUGUCGAAAAAGAACUAAUCUUUUAAAGCUCAGACAAACAAGCCUAGGCCACAGAACUUCUGACAUUAUGAUCCGGCCCGCCGAUUAACGAAAUGAGUUACCCUAGGGAUAACAGCGCAAUCCCCUUUUAGAGCCCAUAUCGACAAGGGGGUUUACGACCUCGAUGUUGGAUCAGGACAUCCUAAUGGUGCAGCCGCUAUUAAGGGUUCGUUUGUUCAACG